AACUUAAGCAUAUCAAUAAGCGGAGGAAAAGAAACCAACAGGGAUUGCCUUAGUAACUGCGAGUGAAGCGGCAAAAGCUCAAAUUUGAAAUCUGGUACCUCUGGGUGCCCGAGUUGUAAUUUGGAGAGGCAACUUCGGAGGAGGCGCUGGCCUAAGUUCCUUGGAACAGGACGUCACAGAGGGUGAGAAUCCCGUGCUUGGCUGGCUGUCCUCCUUCAUGUGAAGUGUCUUCGACGAGUCGAGUUGUUUGGGAAUGCAGCUCAAAAUGGGUGGUAAACUCCAUCUAAGGCUAAAUAUUGGCGAGAGACCGAUAGCGCACAAGUAGAGUGAUCGAAAGAUGAAAAGCACUUUGAAAAGAGAGUUAAAAAGUACGUGAAAUUGUUGAAAGGGAAGCGCUUGAGACCAGACUCGGUGAUUGGUGAUCAGCGGUUGCUUUUGCUCCGUGCACUUGCCUUUUACUGGGCCAGCAUCAGUUGUGACGGUGGGAUAAAGACUCAGGGAAUGUGGCUCUCUUCGGGGAGUGUUAUAGUCUUGGGUGUAAUGCCGCCUGUUGCGACUGAGGACCGCGCUUCGGCUAGGAUGCUGGCAUAAUGGUCUUCAGCGACCCGUCUUGAAACACGGACCAAGGAGUCUAACAUCUAUGCGAGUGUUCGGGUGUAAAACCCCUACGCGUAAUGAAAGUGAACGGAGGUGGGAACUCUUCGGAGUGCACCAUCGACCGAUCCUGAUGUCUUCGGAUGGAUUUGAGUAGGAGCAUAGCUGUUGGGACCCGAAAGAUGGUGAACUAUGCCUGAAUAGGGUGAAGCCAGAGGAAACUCUGGUGGAGGCUCGCAGCGGUUCUGACGUGCAAAUCGAUCGUCAAAUUUGGGUAUAGGGGCGAAAGA
rnacentral:rRNA from 1 species